UAGGUGCGAUGCUCGAUUUCUGACGAAACCCUAGUUCUGUUGACCGCGCCGUCUACCCCUUUGACUGCGUCCCAUCGGGGUUCCCCCGGUGGGCGUAUGCCUGCGUUUGAGCUUGGUUAGGUCAUAGGUACAUGUGGAAACAAGUACCAUCCCCUAUGAUCCCAAGGUUCUCUCCGGUUCACCUCCGAGGGAGUUCCCCCCUAUACACGCAGAAUCUGCCUAAGUGUAGGAACCCCAUGUCCGAGAAGCCGGGCACACCCGGAGGGGGUAGCAUUGGAUAUAGAACCAUCUCAAAUCACUUUUGUGCAUGCCAUGUGGACACACACAACUUUUGGGGCCAUUCCCUAGGUCCGAUGCUCGAUUUCUGACGAAACCCUAGUUCUGUUGACCGCGCCGUCUACCCCUUUGACUGCGUCCCAUCGGGGUUCCCCCGGUGGGCGUAUGCCUGCGUUUGAGCUUGGUUAGGUCAUAGGUACAUGUGGAAACAAGUACCAUCCCCUAUGAUCCCAAGGUUCUCUCCGAUUCACCUCCG